CUACGGGGGGCUGCAGUGGGGAAUAUUGCACAAUGGGGGAAACCCUGAUGCAGCAACGCCGCGUGGAGGAUGACGCAUUUCGGUGUGUAAACUCCUUUUAUAUCCCAAGAUAAUGACGGUAGGAUAUGAAUAAGCACCGGCUAACUCCGUGCCAGCAGCCGCGGUAAUACGGAGGGUGCAAGCGUUACUCGGAAUCACUGGGCGUAAAGGGCGCGUAGGCGGGUUGUCAAGUCUUGAGUGAAAUCCAACGGCUCAACCGUUGAACUGCUUGAGAAACUGGCAGCCUAGAGUGAGGGAGAGGUAGAUGGAAUUGGUGGUGUAGGGGUAAAAUCCGUAGAGAUCACCAGGAAUACCCAUUGCGAAGGCGAUCUGCUGGAACUCUACUGACGCUGAGGCGCGAAAGCGUGGGGAGCAAACAGGAUUAGAUACCCCUGUAGUC
rnacentral:rRNA from 1 species